UUUUAAAGCCCCACCAGGCGGGAGCGGAUAGCUACUCCGCUACAGACACAAACAUGAAACAACAUUGACUUCUGUACAUUACAGAGAUGGCUUGGAGGCUGACAGGUAGCAUUAGAUUAAAGGGGCUUGGAAGAAGAUAGGGAUAUGUUUGUGAUAUUGUGAUCCUUCAAAUUUUUUAGACCUACCCUUCCGUUUUCAUGUACCACCAAAAUCAUACCUGAGUCCAUCAUCUCCUCAAGAACAGAUAUAACUGUCCAUCUCAGAGGCUCCUGGAUUCUCCUUUGGCCAUGAUGAAAUUCUUACCUGUUGUAAGCAGAGAAUGGUAUGACUCCCUUUGUUUGCUGAAAGACUUUAGUAAGUCCUUUGCAGAACUGGUGAAUGGCACCACAGGAGGCUGAAAUCUGAGGCACAGCUCUGAGAGAGAGACCCCAGCGGAAUGGAGAAAGCAUGUUGUAUGUGUAAGCCUCCUGUGACUUCAACAUCCAGAUUCUUCAGUUAAAGAAAAGUCAGAACCUUAUAUUUCAAAACGUUGAAAGAAAAACAAGCAGAAGAAAUGUUAAGGCUACAUCAUAAAGGAGCAGUUCAAACCCUGGGCUGGAUUGUGAUGGUUAGGCACAGCCCUGUGUUCAGGGUGGCGUGGAGCUGCAUAGUCAUAGGAGGGUGCAUGUGAAAAAUCCUAGGUAUGCUGAAGCAGGGUGCCUGCUACUACACACCUCUGUGGAGUUUAGCUUAUUUCUCCACCUCUGCUGGGUAGUGCAUGCUGGGACUAGAGCCAUUGCCCCUGCUUCUAACUCCUGAAUUACGCAUCUGCACUGCGAGCACUGGUGGAAACUGAGAUAGGCCUCAGGUUCAGGCGUUUUACCACUAUACUGCCUAACCCUGAAGCUGCCGUGUAGUUGUCUCUGAUGUUUCUAGAUAGUAAAAGCACCAUAACUGAUGGCUGGUUAGACAACAUAAUGGCAAAGACACUUGAACUGGUCUGAGCAUUUUCUGCUCUACAGCUUCCACCCUUCUUACCACUGUUGGGAAUGAUGGGUCCUAGAAAUGCUAGUGUAGACAAGGUGCUGGGGGUGAGUGCUACAGUCAGUCCCAAGACCAUUCAAAUGUCAGUCUCUAAGGUGACUGAUAACAAUCAUUCUAAUUAUAAUGGUGUUUUCUGUGAUGUGGACUAACACAGAACAGCAAAUAGCAAUGGUUCUCAGUCACUAGCCUCCUAGCCCAGGUGCUAGCCAAAGCGCAGGUUUCUGAAAGGUGUGUGUUACCAAUCCUUUCAGUAACACUGUCUCCUGAAUGUAAAGUAUGGAACAUAAAGCUAUAUGUAUGAUAUUUGUAUAAUAGCUACAGGCAGUGGCGGCUCUAAACAUUUUGCCGCCCCAAGCAGGGCGGCAUGCCGCGGGAGGCACUCUGCCGGUCGCCGGUCCACCGGAGCCGCCUGCCGCCCUCCCGGGACCGGCAG